rnacentral:rRNA from 1 species
GACGGAGGAUGCAAGCGUUAUCCGGAAUUAUUGGGCGUAAAGCGUCCGCAGGUGGCUGUUCUUCCUCUGCUGUCAAAUUCCAGGGCUCAACCCUGGUUCGGCAGUGGAAACUGGAUAGCUAGAGUACGGUAGGGGCAGAGGGAAUUCCUGGUGUAGCGGUGAAAUGCGUAGAUAUCAGGAAGAACACCGGUGGCGAAAGCGCUCUGCUGGGCCGUUUCUGACACUCAUGGACGAAAGUUAGGGGAGCUAAAGGGAUUAUAUACCCCUGUAGUCA